rnacentral:hammerhead_ribozyme from 17 species
AAAGCGUCUGGGGUAUAAGGAAUCGCUGCCAUCAGCCCCACUGAUGAGUCUAGGCAAUGACUCCGAGACGAAACGCAAA